GGAAGCGUGGCCGAGUGGUUUAAGGCACUGGUCUUGAAAACCAGCGAUGGGAAACCAUCCGUGGGUUCGAAUCCCACCGCUUCCGCCA
rnacentral:tRNA from 1 species